AUCUCACCCGGUUCGCCGCCUCCACAAAUCCGCCGCCGCCGACGUCGAGAGAGAAGGGACAGAGAGCGAGUGCUUCGCCGUCCCCGCCGCCGCGAUGAGGGCCAAGUGGAAGAAGAAGAGAAUGAGGAGGCUCAAGAGGAAGCGCCGAAAGAUGAGGCAGAGAUCCAAGUAGUCGUUAUCAGUAGUGUGGAUGUCUUCUUACAUCAUGUUGACCGGUGCAUUUGGAUUGAUGGUGCCUUCGGAUUCUUGAUGUUCCAGUUAUUGGUGUAGGAAUGUGAAACCUUUUCUGGUUUUGGUUAAUUCUAGCUGUUGAAAUGUCUCUGGUUAUGUUCCUAGACUGGAGUAUUAUGUAAUGUGAUGACCAUAAUUCGCUUUAUGAAAGUUUAUGAGAUUUGAAGU
rnacentral:sRNA from 1 species